rnacentral:SRP_RNA from 1 species
GCAGGGCCAGUGGUGUGUGCCUGUAGUCCCAGCUACUGGGGAGGCUGAGGUGGGAGGAUCACUUGAGCCCACGAGUUCUGGGCUAUAGUGCGCUAUGCUGAUCGGGUGUCCACACUAAGUUAGGCAUCAAAAUGGUGACCUCCUGGGAGCGGGGACCACCAGGUUGUCUAAGAAGGGGUGAACCAGCCCAGAUCGGAAACGGAGCAGGUCAAAACUCCUGUGCUGAUCAGUAGUGGGAUCGUGCCUGUGAAUAGUCACUGCACUCCAGCCUAGGCAACAUUUUUGAGACCCCAGUCUCA